rnacentral:tRNA from 1 species
GUCAGGAUAGCUCAGAAGG